GCUUGACUGUAGCUUGUAAUUGGGUUCGGGCUUUUUUUGCGCAGCCUAGGUGGGAGGCAACGAUGAUUUUUUUCCGGAAAAAUUUGAGCCGUUAGUGAGAGACCACUCUGAAAAGGCUAGAAUCCUAAUAAUGAUCCUUGAAUCAGGACAUUUGACAGUUGCAGGUGGGCAGUUUUACUGGGGCGGUAUUCUCCUAAAAAGUAACGGAGGGGUGCAAAGGUCCCUCAAGCUGGACGGAAAUCAGCUUAAGAGUGUAAAGGCAAAGGGAGCUUGACUGCAAGACCUACAAGUCGAGCAGGGGCGAAAGCCGGCCUUAGUGAUCCGACGGUACCACGUGGAAGGGCCGUCGCUCAACGGAUAAAAGUUA
rnacentral:rRNA from 1 species